rnacentral:tRNA from 1 species
ACUUAAAUAAUUUAAUUAAAAUAUUGAUUUGUGGAUUCAAAAAUAUGAUGUGUUAAUCAUUUUAGGUU